CCGGGGCCCCACAUCUCUCAGUCUCAACAGCAGCAGAGCAGGAGCAGCAGACAUGCUGCUGCUGGCAGCUCUGAUGGUUGCAACUGCCUGGUCCUAUGAAUUUGCAUGGAAAGUUCCCAUUCAGAGUCCUCUGUCCAUCACCAAGUCACAAGGCAGUAUACGUCUGCAGUGUCGUUUUGGAGACUUGUUUGAACAUUUUGAUAGCACCGUCAUACACUGGUAUCAACAAAAGGAGAAUAAACCUCCAGAGAGGCUACUCUUCUUUGCAGAAGGGAAAACUACAGUUGAAAGUGGCUUUCAAGGGAACAAGUACAUGGCUGAUGAAGUUUCUAGUCAGAAACUGUCCAUUCUUACGAUAAAUGAUGUAAGUCCAGAUGAUGCUGCUACUUACUACUGUGCCUACUGGGACCCACACCGUGAGAGAUGCUCAGAGACCAUCAAGCCACAAAACUCCUUCAACCACUCAACUUCAGCUUCAGUCUGA